rnacentral:rRNA from 1 species
GGGUCAGUAGGUUGGUCGUGCCACCGGUACGUACUGGUCUCACUGAUUCCUCCUUCCUGAAGACCGUAAUGCCAUUAAUUUGGUGUUGCGGGGAAACAGGACUGUUACUUUGAAAAAGUUAGAGUGUUUAAAGCAAGCUAACGCUUGAAUACAUUAGCAUGGAAUAAUGAAAUAGGACGAUCGAUCCUAUUUUGUUGGUUUCUAGGAUUGACGUA